rnacentral:misc_RNA from 1 species
GAUAAGAACUAUGGACUCCUCUCACAGCAGGAAGGUAACCACCAUGAGGUUCCAAAUCAGAAUGGCGACGGUUGGAUCCUGAAGUUCCGGCAUAAGCUGGACCUUGAUAGCCGGUUGGUGGUAAUGGGUAUCUUGGUGCAAAUGUAACAGGAGGUGCCACAUAACCAGUCCUUUGGUUGCCAAAAGUCCUGGAUGGCCUACCACCACGCCUAUGACCUGCGGAGCUAUUGUUUCGUGAUUUUUUAGCUGGCCGGUCAUUAGUUGAAGACUCCACACCCCUCUGGCCACGUUUUUUACUGGGCGUUGUUUUACCUUCAGACUUUGAUGGCUUAUCUUUAUUUUCCAACUUCGAAGCCUGGCUUCCUUUCACAUCUUUGGGUUGGUCUUUUCCCUUGUUAGUAACAUCAUUCGACUUCAUAUUUUUCUUCUUAUUUUUACCGGCUUCUUCAGAAACUUCUCCAUCCUUCUUAACCGGAAAACCACCCCGAAGAACUUGCUUAGCAACUCGGCCUUUGUUCUUCGGUUUGGCAAGAUUAGCUUUGACCUUAAUCUCUCCUUCCCCAGGGUCAGCAUUAUUAAGACCUUCCACACAAGCAACAGCACUUUCAUGAGUACUGAACUCCACAAACCCAUAAUCUUUCUUCUUGGCUCUUGUAAAAUCCCUGGAGAGCCGUACUUUUUCAAUUUCACCAUAUUGCUUGCAAAGUUCUCUGACUUUUUCUUCAUCCCAAGAUUCAGUAAUGCCCUCAAAGUACACCGAUUUUAUCUGAGACAUAGCUUCCUCAUUAGGUUGUAGAGAAUUCGAGAAGGCAACUUUAGCACUUUUAUCAAAACCAAAGAUAGCAUCAGGCUUUCUUAAACGCUGAAAUGCUGCUACAGCUUCGGCAUGUGAGGCGUAUUGAAGAAGAGCAAAUCCUUUGAUUUUCCCAUCCUUCUUAGAAUCGUCUGGCAGAACAAUACUCUCUAGCUGAUCGACACCAUAGCUUUUUAAUGCAUCCAUUACAUUAUCCUUUGUCCAAGUCUUGCAGAUGUUCCCAAGGUAAAGGGUAUCAUUGUCAUUACUAGCUGAUAUCUUGGCCUGCUUGCCUUUCACCUCCACCCCAUCUUUUAACUCAACAAGAGCUUUCCUGGCAU